UUUGUACUCCCUCCGUCCCAAAAUUCUUGUCUUAAAUUUAUCUAAAUACGGAUGUAUCUAGUUACAUUUUAGUGUUAGAUACAUCUGUAUCUAAACAAAUGUAAGACAAGAAUUUUGGGACGGAGGAAUACUAC
rnacentral:pre_miRNA from 1 species